rnacentral:rRNA from 1 species
AAAAGCUUUCUUUAAUUAAAUAAUUGAAUUUAAUUUUUUAGUGCAAAAGCAAAAAUAAAAAUUAGGGACAAGAAGACCCUAUGAAUUUUUUAUUAAAUUUUAUAAAACUUUAUAUAAAAUUUAAUUUAAUUGGGGUGAUGGAAAAAGAAUAAAUAUCUUUUUUUUAAAGAAAAUUGGUUCCGUUUUUAGCGAUUAAAUGAAAAAAAUACUCUAGGGAUAACAGCGUAAUAAUUUUGGAUAGUUCAUAUAGAUAAAAUAGUUUGCGACCUCGAUGUUGGAUUAGGAUUCUUUUUUGGUGAAGAAGUUAAAAAAA